GUGAGGGAAAGGCGAAAAGAACCCCGGCGAGGGGAGUGAAAAAGAACCUGAAACCGUGUACGUACAAGCAGUGGGAGCCCCACCACCAAAGCAUUCUCUGGUGUUGAAGGCCCUGCAAAGCAGCAUCGCGGUGGCGGAGCGUCGUUUGCGACGCCCAACACACAAAACAAGCGGUGAAUGCUUUGGGGUGGGGUGACUGCGUACCUUUUGUAUAAUGGGUCAGCGACUUAUAUUCUGUAGCAAGGUUAACCGAAUAGGGGAGCCGGAGGGAAACCGAGUCUUAAUUGGGCGUUAAGUUGCAGGGUAUAGACCCGAAACCCGGUGAUCUAGCCAUGGGCAGGUUGAAGGUUGGGUAACACUAACUGGAGGACCGAACCGACUAAUGUUGAAAAAUUAGCGGAUGACCUGUGGCUGGGGGUGAAAGGCCAAUCAAACCGGGAGAUAGCUGGUUCUCCCCGAAAGCUAUUUAGGUAGCGCCUCGUGAAUUCAUCUCCGGGGGUAGAGCACUGUUUCGGCUAGGGGGCCAUCCCGGCUUACCAACCCGAUGCAAACUGCGAAUACCGGAGAAUGUUAUCACGGGAGACACACGGCGGGUGCUAACGUCCGUCGUGAAGAGGGAAACAACCCAGACCGCCAGCUAAGGUCCCAAAGUCAUGGUUAAGUGGGAAACGAUGUGGGAAGGCCCAGACAGCCAGGAUGUUGGCUUAGAAGCAGCCAUCAUUUAAAGAAAGCGUAAUAGCUCACUGGUCGAGUCGGCCUGCGCGGAAGAUGUAACGGGGCUAAACCAUGCACCGAAGCUGCGGCAGCGAACGUAUCACCCAAGACAACUUUACGGAGUUGACGAUUGACGGAGCGAAGCGACGUCAAAGCGUUCAUUAAAGUCGAGUUGGCUUAGGGAUACGUUCGUUGGGUAGGGGAGCGUUCUGUAAGCCUGUGAAGGUGUGUCGUGAGGCAUGCUGGAGGUAUCAGAAGUGCGAAUGCUGACAUAAGUAACGAUAAAGCGGGUGAAAAGCCCGCUCGCCGGAAGACCAAGGGUUCCUGUCCAACGUUAAUCGGGGCAGGGUGAGUCGACCCCUAAGGCGAGGCCGAAAGGCGUAGUCGAUGGGAAACGGGUUAAUAUUCCCGUACUUGGUGUUACUGCGAAGGGGGGACGGAGAAGGCUAUGUUGGCCGGGCGACGGUUGUCCCGGUUUAAGCGUGUAGGUGUGUGUUCCAGGUAAAUCCGGUUCACUUUAACACUGAGGCGUGACGACGAGGCACUACGGUGCUGAAGCAACAAAUGCCCUGCUUCCAGGAAAAGCCUCUAAGCAUCAGGUAACAUCAAAUCGUACCCCAAACCGACACAGGUGGUCAGGUAGAGAAUACCAAGGCGCUUGAGAGAACUCGGGUGAAGGAACUAGGCAAAAUGGUGCCGUAACUUCGGGAGAAGGCACGCUGACACGUAGGUGAAGUGAUUUACUCAUGGAGCUGAAGUCAGUCGAAGAUACCAGCUGGCUGCAACUGUUUAUUAAAAACACAGCACUGUGCAAACACGAAAGUGGACGUAUACGGUGUGACGCCUGCCCGGUGCCGGAAGGUUAAUUGAUGGGGUCAGCGCAAGCGAAGCUCCUGAUCGAAGCCCCGGUAAACGGCGGCCGUAACUAUAACGGUCCUAAGGUAGCGAAAUUCCUUGUCGGGUAAGUUCCGACCUGCACGAAUGGCGUAAUGAUGGCCAGGCUGUCUCCACCCGAGACUCAGUGAAAUUGAACUCGCUGUGAAGAUGCAGUGUACCCGCGGCAAGACGGAAAGACCCCGUGAACCUUUACUAUAGCUUGACACUGAACAUUGAGCCUUGAUGUGUAGGAUAGGUGGGAGGCUUUGAAGUGUGGACGCCAGUCUGCAUGGAGCCGACCUUGAAAUACCACCCUUUAAUGUUUGAUGUUCUAACGUGGACCCGUAAUCCGGGUUGCGGACAGUGUCUGGUGGGUAGUUUGACUGGGGCGGUCUCCUCCUAAAGAGUAACGGAGGAGCACGAAGGUUGGCUAAUCCUGGUCGGACAUCAGGAGGUUAGUGCAAUGGCAUAAGCCAGCUUGACUGCGAGCGUGACGGCGCGAGCAGGUGCGAAAGCAGGUCAUAGUGAUCCGGUGGUUCUGAAUGGAAGGGCCAUCGCUCAACGGAUAAAAGGUACUCCGGGGAUAACAGGCUGAUACCGCCCAAGAGUUCAUAUCGACGGCGGUGUUUGGCACCUCGAUGUCGGCUCAUCACAUCCUGGGGCUGAAGUAGGUCCCAAGGGUAUGGCUGUUCGCCAUUUAAAGUGGUACGCGAGCUGGGUUUAGAACGUCGUGAGACAGUUCGGUCCCUAUCUGCCGUGGGCGCUGGAGAACUGAGGGGGGCUGCUCCUAGUACGAGAGGACCGGAGUGGACGCAUCACUGGUGUUCGGGUUGUCAUGCCAAUGGCACUGCCCGGUAGCUAAAUGCGGAAGAGAUAAGUGCUGAAAGCAUCUAAGCACGAAACUUGCCCCGAGAUGAGUUCUCCCUGAGACUUAGAGUCUCCUGAAGGAACGUUGAAGACGACGACGUUGAUAGGCCGGGUGUGUAAGCGCAGCGAUGCGUUGAGCUAACCGGUACUAAUGAACCGUGAGGCUUAACC
rnacentral:rRNA from 1 species